UGUAAUUUGUAGAGGAUGCUUCGGCGAANACUCCUGCCUAAGUCCCCUGGAACGGGGCGUCAUAGAGGGUGAGAAUCCCGUAUGUGGCGGGCAGUCUAAGCCAUGUGAAGCUCCUUCGACGAGUCGAGUUGUUUGGGAAUGCAGCUCUUAAUGGGAGGUAAAUUUCUUCUAAAGCUAAAUAUUGGCCAGAGACCGAUGGCGCACAAGUAGAGNGAUCGAAAGAUGAAAAGCACUUUGGAAAGAGAGCNAAAAGUACGUGAAAUUGUUGAAAGGGAAGCGCUUGCAACCAGACUCGCUCGGAGUUGCUCAGCCGGCCUCUUGGCCGGUGCACUCUUCUACUAUCGGCCCAGCAUCAGNUCGGGCGGCAGGAUAAAGGUGUCGGGAAUGNAGCACCCUUCGGNGCGUGUUAUAGNCCGNCGCGNAAUGCUGCCUGCCUGGACUGA
rnacentral:rRNA from 1 species